rnacentral:rRNA from 1 species
GAAUUCACUAGUGAUUCAGGCCUAACACAUGCAAGUCGAACGGCAGCACGGAGCUUGCUCUGGUGGCGAGUGGCGAACGGGUGAGUAAUAUAUCGGAACGUACCCUGGAGUGGGGGAUAACGUAGCGAAAGUUACGCUAAUACCGCAUACGAUCUAAGGAUGAAAGUGGGGGAUCGCAAGACCUCAUGCUCGUGGAGCGGCCGAUAUCUGAUUAGCUAGUUGGUAGGGUAAAAGCCUACCAAGGCAUCGAUCAGUAGCUGGUCUGAGAGGACGACCAGCCACACUGGAACUGAGACACGGUCCAGACUCCUACGGGAGGCAGCAGUGGGGAAUUUUGGACAAUGGGCGCAAGCCUGAUCCAGCAAUGCCGCGUGAGUGAAGAAGGCCUUCGGGUUGUAAAGCUAAUGGUCAGGGAAGAAACGGUGAGAGCUAAUAUCUCUUG